GCAGAACGCGAAGAACCUUACCAACCCUUGACAUGUGUAUCGCGGUUCCAGAGAUGGUUCCUUCAGUUCGGCUGGAUACAACACAGGUGCUGCAUGGCUGUCGUCAGCUCGUGUCGUGAGACUGUUCGGUUAAGUCCGGCUAACGAGCGCAACCCACACUUUCAGUUGCCAUCAUUCAGUUGGGCACUCUGGAAGAACUGCCGGUGAUAAGCCGGAGGAAGGUGUGGAUGACGUCAAGUCCUCAUGGCCCCUUACGGGUUGGGCUACACACGUGCUACAAUGGUGGUGACAAUGGGUUAAUCCCCAAAAGCCAUCUCAGUUCGGAUUGGGUCUGCAACUCGACCCCAUGAAGUCGGAAUCGCUAGUAAUCGCGUAACAGCAUGACGC
rnacentral:rRNA from 1 species